rfam:Acidobacteria bacterium 13_1_40CM_2_56_5 13_1_40cm_2_scaffold_4345, whole genome shotgun sequence.
AGAGUCCUACAGUGAAGGUCUAGCAAACCACACUGGCCUCAGGUCAUACGCAGGCGUCCGCAAGGAUGUCGGCGGGACGUUGAUAGAGGUACGUGCAGGCAGGGUAUCGAGCCGCGAAAUGAGCGCAAAGAAUCAGGGUGCCGACAGCGUUCUUGAGCUUGGAAGGCAACAUCGACUGCAGCGAAGGCUUAGGUUGCAGGAGAACCCUGCGAGGUCUAAGACCC